AGAGUUUGAUCCUGGCUCAGGAUGAACGCUAGCGGCAGGCUUAACACAUGCAAGUCGAGGGGCAGCAUGGGGAGUAGCAAUACUCUCUGAUGGCGACCGGCGCAAGGGUGCGUAACGCGUGAGCAACUUGCCCUCAUCAGGGGAAUAAUCGCUGGAAACGGCGUCUAAUGCCCCAUGGCGAUGGAAUCAGGCAUCUGGUUCCAUCUAAAGAUCCGUCGGAUGAGGAUAGGCUCGCGUGACAUUAGCUUGACGGCGGGGUAACGGCCCACCGUGGCGACGAUGUCUAGGGGUUCUGAGAGGAAGGUCCCCCACACUGGAACUGAGACACGGUCCAGACUCCUACGGGAGGCAGCAGUGAGGAAUAUUGGUCAAUGGCCGGAAGGCUGAACCAGCCAUGCCGCGUGAAGGUCAGUGCCCUAUGGGCGUUAAACUUCUUUUGUGCGGGAGCAAUAAGGUCCACGUGUGGACCGACGAGAGUACCGUACGAAUAAGCAUCGGCUAACUCCGUGCCAGCAGCCGCGGUAAUACGGGGGAUGCAAGCGUUAUCCGGAUUUAUUGGGUUUAAAGGGUGCGUAGGCUGUGAGGUAAGUCAGCGGUGAAAUGCCCCCGCUCAACGGGGUGAAGUGCCAUUGAUACUGCCUUGCUGGAAUGCGGAUGCCGUGGGAGGAAUGUGUGGUGUAGCGGUGAAAUGCAUAGAUAUCACACAGAACACCGAUUGCGAAGGCAUCUCACGAAUCCGCGAUUGACGCUGAUGCACGAAAGCGUGGGUAUCAAACAGGAUUAGAUACCCUGGUAGUCCACGCUGUAAACGAUGAUGACUAACCGUCGGCGAUACACAGUCGGUGGCCAAGCGAAAGCGAUAAGUCAUCCACCUGGGGAGUACGGCCGCAAGGCUGAAACUCAAAGGAAUUGACGGGGGCCCGCACAAGCGGAGGAACAUGUGGUUUAA
rnacentral:rRNA from 1 species